rnacentral:lncRNA from 1 species
GGUCACACAGGUUGUUAAUGUUGAGGUCAAAAUUGCACUAGUCAGUUUGUUAGGCGAGGCUAUCCAAUUAUUUCUUGCAGCCUAUCCCCAAUUUCCUGCUUAAGGGCUGGAUAUGUCUCUAACUUUCUGCAAUUUUUUCAGUGUUUCUGAUGGGAUUGGACAAGAAAUGGAUACGCAGCUCUAGAGCAAUAACAUGGCUAAGCAGGAAAAUACUCCUUAUCCAUGAGCCAGGGAGCCAAAGACUAUUAUGUGGAGGACUGUGGUGAAUUUAGUGCUUGGCGUGGUAGUGGAUAUCUUUAUGAUGACAGAGUAACACAAAUUGUUCCAGAAAUCAGAAGACGUAGAUUAUUUCUUACUCUACAUAAAUCACUGGAUAUAGUUCUCUAUUAUAAAAUGGAAAUAAUGACACCAGCUAUGCUUACUUCAGAAAGGUAAAUAUGAAAGUUUGUCAUUAGUGGUCAUUGGUCUUUCUUUUUGAAUCCACCUGAACUACCAAACUGCCCCCUGACUGUCCAUAUUCCUGUCACCCAGGACCUACACGGUAUUUACCAUCCUACUAUCUUAUGUUCUGUUACCUUAUUUCACAGAUUCUGGAAUACUUAAAAAAAAUUAACUUCUGUAAAAUUGGGAUAAACUUUACAUGUCUAGGAGCUUAUAAUCACUGCUGGCUAGUCAGCGUCAUUGUUUAGUGCCACUGGAUAUGUGAACUUGGCUAUUAUUUCUAAUUAAACAAUGAUGCUCCCUCAGUUUUUCUGUGUACAAACCAUUUUAAAAUCACUUUGGGAAAGAUUAUGUGUCAGCUUCUAAUAUAAUCGAGAAAGUGACAGUAUCAAGAUAUGGAAAGUUUGGAAGAAAAUUCUAUUGCCAGUUUAUAUGCUAGUCUUGCAAAAAAACAACAAAAAAACAUAGACAUAAAUAGCUCUGAGUUGAAAAGUCAUUCAGAAGAAUCAGACCCUGAAAGUAAUUUUUUUAAAACUUUUAUUAUAGGUUCGGGGUACAGGUGCAGGUUUGUUAUAUAAGUAAAUGGCACAUCAUGGGGGUUUGGUAUACAGCUUAUUUUGUUACCAGGUAAUAAGCAUAGUACCCAAUAGCUAAUUUUUUUGUUUCUCUGUCUCCUCCCACUCUUUUUCCUCAAAUAGGCCCCAAUAUCUAUUGUUCCUCUCCAUGUGUCCAUGUGUUCUCAUUGUUUAGCAUCUACUUAUAAGUGAGAACAUGCAGUAUUUGGUUUUCUCUUCCUGCAUUAAUUUGCUUAGGAUGAUAGCCUCCAGCUUUAUCUGUG